rnacentral:rRNA from 1 species
AUUCCAGCUCCAAUAGCGUAUAUUAAUGUUGUUGCAGUUAAAAAGCUCGUAGUUGGAUUUCUGAUGGGAUCGACCCGGUCGGCUCCGAAAGGGGUCGCACUGGUGGUCUGUCCGGUCAUCCUCGAGGGGAGGCUUUCUGGCAUUCAUUUGUUGGGGAGUCGACGCUCGUCGUUUACUGUGAACAAAUUAGAGUGUUCAAAGCAGGCUUAGGCCGUUGAAUACAUUAGCAUGGAAUAAUAAGAUAGGACUUUGGUGGUUUAUUUUGUUGGUUUGCACGCCGAAGUAAUGAUUAAUAGGAGCAGUUGGGGAUGUCCGUAUUCGAUUGUCAGAGGUGAAAUUCUUGGAUUUAUUGAAGACGAACCACUGCGAAAGCAUUUGCCAGGGAUGUUUUCAUCA